rnacentral:rRNA from 1 species
UUCGGAAUAAUUGGCAAUGGGCGAAAGCCUGACCAUGCGACGCCGCGUGGAGGAUGAAGGCCUUACGGUCGUAAACUUCUGUCACGGGUGCACAAAUCAUGGGGUGAUAAUACCAUCCCAUGUUGAGCUUGGCCCGAAAGGAAGUCCCCGCUAAUUACGUGCCAGCAGCGGCGGUAAUACGUAAGGGGCUAACGUUGUUCGGUGUCACUGGGCUUAAAGGGCGCGUAGGCGGUCUGGUAAGUCAGGUGUGA